rnacentral:rRNA from 1 species
GACGAACGCUGGCGGCGUGCUUAACACAUGCAAGUCGAACGGUGAAGCGCCUUCCUUUUUGGUGGGUGUGGAUGAGUGGCGAACGGGUGAGUAACACGUGAGUAACCUGCCCCCUUCUUCUGGAUAACCGCAUGAAAGUGUGGCUAAUACGGGAUAUUCUGGGUCUGUCGCAUGAUGGGUCUGGGAAAGAUAUUGUUUCGGUGGGGGAUGGGCUCGCGGCCUAUCAGCUUGUUGGUGGGGUGAUGGCCUACCAAGGCGGUGACGGGUAGCCGGCCUGAGAGGGUGGACGGUCACACUGGGACUGAGACACGGCCCAGCCUCCUACGGGAGGCAGCAGUGGGGAAUAGUGCACAAUGGGCGCAAGCCUGAUGCAGCGACGCCGCGUGAGGGAUGGAGGCCUUCGGGUUGUGAACCUCUUUCGCCAGUGAAGCAGGCCUGCCUCGUUUGUGGGUGGGUUGACGGUAGCUGGAUAAGAAGCGCCGGCUAACUACGUG